rnacentral:lncRNA from 1 species
AUGGGAUGGUGACUUUGAAAGUCUCUGGCCAGAGCAGGGAUGAACAGUAGAAAUGAUUUCUACUCGUUUAUUGACCGAGUCAUCAUCAUUUGAUCAAGAUACAUAUAGUUAGGUAUUUGUGAAAGAAGAGUGCCCUAUAAGUCAAUUGCAAGUAUGUUGCGAUGGAAUUUUUCUUUAUAAUUUUCCAACUCAUGUAAUAAUAUUUAUUAUUUAAGGUAUUGAUUCAUCAUAUUAGUUGCAUCUUAUUAUGUCUAAGAUUAUGAUGAACCCCAAAAAUUAGGACAAUAAUUUUAGGAGACAUGAAUGGGUCAUGCUAGUGAGACCUAAAAUCCUAAAAUCUUAAUCUUAAAUAUUUUUGAUCAUAGAAACAUUGAGUCGG